ACUCCUACGGGGGGCAGCAGUAGGGAAUCUUCCACAAUGGACGAAAGUCUGAUGGAGCAACGCCGCGUGAGUGAAGAAGGGUUUCGGCUCGUAAAGCUCUGUUGGGAGUGAAGAAAGAUAGAGGUAGUAACUGGCCUUUAUUUGACGGUAAUUACUUAGAAAGUCACGGCUAACUACGUGCCAGCAGCCGCGGUAAUACGUAGGGGGCAAGCGUUAUCCGGAAUUAUUGGGCGUAAAGAGUACGUAGGGGGCAAC
rnacentral:rRNA from 1 species